UACGUAGGGGGCUAGCGUUGCUCGGAUUGACUGGGCGUAAAGGGCGCGUAGGCGGUUCGUACAGUCAGACGUGAAAUCCCUGGGCUCAACCUGGGGGCUGCGUUUGAUACGUGCGGACUUGAGUGCGGAAGAGGGUCGUGGAAUUCCCAGUGUAGAGGUGAAAUUCGUAGAUAUUGGGAAGAACACCGGUGGCGAAGGCGGCGCCCUGGUCCGAUACUGACGCUGAGGCGCGAAAGCGUGGGGAGCGAACAGG
rnacentral:rRNA from 1 species